GAUGAACGCUGGCGGCGUGCCUAACACAUGCAAGUCGAGCGAUUCUCUUUGGAGAAGAGCGGCGGACGGGUGAGUAACGCGUGGGUAACCUGCCUCAUACACAUGGAUAACAUACCGAAAGGUAUGCUAAUACAGGAUAACAUAAGAGAUUCGCAUGUUUCUCUUAUCAAAGCUCCGGCGGUAUGAGAUGGACCCGCGUCUGAUUAGCUAGUCGGUAAGGUAAUGGCUUACCAAGGCAACGAUCAGUAGCCGACCUGAGAGGGUGAUCGGCCACAUUGGAACUGAGACACGGUCCAAACUCCUACGGGAGGCAGCAGUGGGGAAUAUUGCACAAUGGGCGAAAGCCUGAUGCAGCAACGCCGCGUGAGUGAUGAAGGCCUUCGGGUCGUAAAACUCUGUCCUCAAGGAAGAUAAUGACGGUACUGAGAGAGCCC
rnacentral:rRNA from 1 species